UACGUAGGGACCAAGCGUUGUUCGGAUUUACUGGGCGUAAAGGGCGCGUAGGCGGCCACCGCAAGUCGACUGUGAAAUCUCCGGGCUUAACCCGGAAAGGUCAGCCGAUACUGCGGGCUAGAGUGCAGAAGGGGCAACUGGAAUUCUCGGUGUAGCGGUGAAAUGCGUAGAUAUCGAGAGGAACACCUGCGGCGAAGGCGGGUUGCUGGGCUGACACUGACGCUGAGGCGCGAAAGCUAGGGGAGCGAACGGG
rnacentral:rRNA from 1 species